rnacentral:lncRNA from 1 species
GACUUUGGCCCAUGAUAGGCAGAAGACAAUUAGGCCAUUUUAGGUUAACUCGAGUUUCAACCGUAACUUAUUUACAGCAAACCAAACAACAAAAGUAAUCGUUUACGACGAAAACAACUUCCCUCCUCUCCACUUCCACCCCACUUCCAUCUAAACAAACAUGCCCUUAGUCCCGAAAAUCUCUGAACAAGUUUAGCCGGUUCUCAAAACUUAUAAAUUAAACACUCGACACCGCAAACCUUUUGAAGUUCUUCAUUUAGUCCUUGCCCUAGAGCAAAAGCUAUUGCUCGCACCUAGCACAUCGACACUCCACGUACCACGAGCCAUCUUAUGAUUUCAAACCAACCGUCCAAUUUCUAAGCGGAGAACGAGAUGCAAGUCAAUGGGUGGCAGCACGGACUGAAAUACCUAUGCAUUUGUAAACAUAGAUACGCACCCAAAUUCACGAACUGCACACAGUAGGAAUGAUCGAGAAGAAGAAUCAGGUACCGAUUAGAACAUAAGGAAGUGUCACCAAGCAGAUAGACACAUAUUAAAGCAUCAGCAAUGUCACGAUUUGCAGAAAUUUUCUAAUUUCCAAGCAUUCAUUAAGACAUCACGAGUCAAGAACCACGAAAAGGGGGAGGAAAAUAAAAAAGAAUAGAUUACAACAUGGUACUAAGCCGAAGACAUCUUAGAUCGACAACAAAUCAGACCUGCCGGAGCACUCCUUGUGAGGGUUAUUUCUUGUUAUUCCCUUUAUUUUUCGAGUCUGUAGCUGCUGUUCCGCCAGCGGCAGCCUGAGCUGCCUUCCUUGCUGCCUUCUCUUCCAGCGCCUUCUUAUCCCUUCAGACAGAACAUAAAAUUUCAGGAUCAGACGAUUUUGAGAAAAAGAAGAAAAAGAUUGUCCCAACUUCCCUGCAAUGAGUAAAAUUAAUCUAUCCGUUUAGAACUUCAAAAUUAGUAAAUUAAGCUUGACUUUUUCCAGCAAUAAUCAUCUUACUCUUCAAUAAAUGCUUUUGCCCCCCACUUUUUUUUUUUCAUUCCUAAAGCUUUUAUUCUAUCGCUCAUCUAAUUUUACAUGCACAGUAUAUUCUAAACGAACAAUAGUAUAAGGGAGAAAAUUUAAACCACCUGAUCAAAAGCUUUUGUAGAAAAGCAUAUAUAAUCAAAAUUAAAAGUGUACAAGGACAACAAUAUCCACGGUACCAACACUUUGUAGUAGUAUAAUCGCAUUUGCCCCUCACACAAAUCAUCAAAGAAAUAUUUUUCUUUAAAAAAAAAAAUAGAACUUUAAGAUACAAUAAUAAACAAUUAGACGAAUAUAAUACUAAAUAAACUGAAAAAGAGGGGAGUUUAAAAAAAAAAAAAAAAAAAAAAAAAAAAAAAAAAAAAAAAAAAAAAAAAAAAAAAANACUUUUGUUUAAAAAGAAGGAAUGUGAUUGGCUUGUUAUUGAUGACGUGGUGCAAGUGUGACAGUGUAGAAUUCCUCCUGUUCAGGGGUGAGGCCAUCUUCCUUCCCCUUGACCGCGGGCUUCCUCGCCUGCGCUCUCGCGCGAUCCCUCUCCCUCUGAUCUCCGCGUAAUCCAUCAUCCCCAGCAUCAAAUUAAGGAAAAUUACAUAAUAAUAAUCCCCAAACCAAAUAAAAGAAAACAAAAUGAAUCCACAAAAAAGAAAAAAAAAAUACAGCUAACCAAGUUCAGGAAAGAGAAAAAAUUGGUGGAAAAGAUGAUGAUGAUGAUGAUGAUGAUCGGAACGAUCGGAAGAGGAUAUGAGUCAUUGUAUCGUUCUCCGGAUUGGUUGAGAUCGGUGACGAAUUAUGAGGAGGAGGAGAAGUAGAGAGUCGUAGGGAUAGAGAAAAUAAAAUUGCGGAGAAUACGGAAGGGAGGAGGCGAUUUAAAGGGGGAUGGAAAUUAUCUAUUAUUAUUAUUAUUAUUAUUAUUAUAAUUAUAAUUAUAAUAAUAAUAAGUUGCAAAGUG